CAGUAGCCGCGGUAAUGCGAAGGGUGCAAGCGUUAAUCGGAAUUACUGGGCGUAAAGCGUGCGUAGGCGGUUUGUUAAGUCUGUUGUGAAAUCCCCGGGCUCAACCUGGGAAUGGCAAUGGAUACUGGCAAGCUAGAGUGUGUCAGAGGAUGGUGGAAUUCCCGGUGUAGCGGUGAAAUGCGUAGAGAUCGGGAGGAACAUCAGUGGCGAAGGCGGCCAUCUGGGACAACACUGACGCUGAGGCACGAAAGCGUGGGGAGCAAACAGGAUUAGAUACCCGCGUAGUCCCUGUCUCUUAUAC
rnacentral:rRNA from 1 species